rnacentral:rRNA from 1 species
UAGGGAAUCUUCCACAAUGGACGCAAGUCUGAUGGAGCAACGCCGCGUGAGUGAAGAAGGUCUUCGGAUCGUAAAGCUCUGUUGUUGGUGAAGAAGGAUAGAGGCAGUAACUGGUCUUUAUUUGACGGUAAUCAACCAGAAAGUCACGGCUAACUACGUGCCAGCAGCCGCGGUAAUACGUAGGUGGCAAGCGUUGUCCGGAUUUAUUGGGCGUAAAGCGAGCGCAGGCGGAAUGAUAAGUCUGAUGUGAAAGCCCACGGCUCAACCGUGGAACUGCAUCGGAAACUGUCAUUCUUGAGUGCAGAAGAGGAGAGUGGAACUCCAUGUGUAGCGGUGGAAUGCGUAGAUAUAUGGAAGAACACCAGUGGCGAAGGCGGCUCUCUGGUCUGCAACUGACGCUGAGGCUCGAAAGCAUGGGUAGCGAACAGGAUUAGAUACCCUGGUGAGUCCAUGCCGUAAACGAUGAGCAGCUAGGUGUU